rnacentral:rRNA from 1 species
GAUGAACGCUGGCGGCGUGCUUAACACAUGCAAGUCGAACGGUGAAGGCGGAGCUUGCUCUGCUGGAUCAGUGGCGGACGGGUGAGUAACACGUGAGCAAUCUGCCCCUGACUCUGGGAUAAGCGCUGGAAACGGCGUCUAAUACUGGAUACGAGCUGCGAAGGCAUCUUCAGCAGCUGGAAAGAAUUUCGGUCAGGGAUGAGCUCGCGGCCUAUCAGCUUGUUGGUGAGGUAAUGGCUCACCAAGGCGUCGACGGGUAGCCGGCCUGAGAGGGUGACCGGCCACACUGGGACUGAGACACGGCCCAGACUCCUACGGGAGGCAGCAGUGGGGAAUAUUGCACAAUGGGCGAAAGCCUGAUGCAGCAACGCCGCGUGAGGGACGACGGCCUUCGGGUUGUAAACCUCUUUUGGCAGGGAAGAAGCGAAAGUGACGGUACCUGCAGAAAAAGCGCCGGCUAACUACGUG